rnacentral:tRNA from 19 species
GGCUAGGUAGCUCAGCUGGUCAGAGCGCGGCACUCAUAAUGCUGAGGUCGGCGGUUCGAGCCCGCCUCUAGCCACCA